CCCGUUCAAUUUGCAUCGAAACACAUUAUUGUUCAUAUUUCAAGAUCUAGACAAAUCUUAAUAAAACAAUACAAUCUUAUCAACAUAAAGCGUCCAACUUUAUGAACCGAUUGUAAACGACAUAAUUUUGAUAAUAUCGAAUUGUGUCUUACUAUACCCAAUUCAUCGAAUAUACAAUUUGUGACAUUAUGUAUGAUCAUGGAACCUUAGAUAAUCACUUCAAAUUAUAACACGCAAAUAAAUAAAUGUCAAUUCAUAAUGUAAUUUUACAGAACACUACUCGAAGAAUGGGCAUCAAGCGAACAAGAACAUCGUGCUGUGAAGAAACUAUACCAAUCGAUAAGUUUUAUUUUAGCAUUUUUACUCAUCCACGAGUUGCUGCAACUAAUUAUAUUUCGAAAAAACUGCACUUCUUAUCCACGAAACCUUUUCUAUUGGACUCAUUCAAGCACAAAAUUGGAGUCCCAUUUAGGUCAACUGCAAAUCGAACACCAAAUGCCAGAGGCCAACCCUCUUGACUCAAAGAAGAGAAAGGUGCACACAGAAGACAAUUCCAUAAUUGUCCUCGAAAUCUCAGUAGGAAAAGUCUUGGGAUUGCUGGUUAAUUCCAUGUUUGUCGGCUCUGGAACUACAGAAACUGAGCAUUUCACAGUCUGGAUUGAAAUCUGAGACAAGGAUUUGUUCUUAACGGCUUAAAUGAUUGCAAGGUGAUUGGUUUAAAGGGUGGAAAUGAAGGCCUGGGAAAAUGGGUUGUUGGGAAAACUGAAGAGGAGAGAUGGGAAGUGGAAAAUUUGGUUUGGGGAAGCAUUUGGGCUGACAAAAUUAGCGUAUUUCUGUACAAGGGCUUAUGGUAACUUGGAGAGGAAUGGAGGAUUUUGAUUGUGCAAUGGGUGCGCCUCGGAUUGGAGGGCGUGGAGAUGCUGGGAACUGUUUAGUAGAGAUGGAAGGCGAUGAGAUAAAUUUGUUUAGCAGAGUUAUGAUCCUUAGUAUAAAUUAAUUAGGAAAAUGCAAUAUGUACAGGGUCGAGUUAUGAUCCUUGGUAUAAAUUAAUUAGGAAAAAUUAAUUAGAAAAAUGCCUCCUGCACAGAUGGUAUAAA
rnacentral:lncRNA from 1 species